UACGGGUUUAGACCCGAGCAAAUAGCUCCGUAACAGUGGUCAAACUACCCUCUGGACCGGAAUACCCUCGGGAAACUGAGGCUAAUUCCGGAUACUGCUUUCAUGUUGGAACACAGAAAGUCGGAAACGGUCCGCCGCCGGAGGACGUGACUGCGGCCGAUUAGGUAGACGGUGGGGUAACGGCCCACCGUGCCGAUAAUCGGUACGGGUUGUGAGAGCAAGAACCCGGAGACGGUAUCUGAGACAAGAUACCGGGCCCUACGGGGCGCAGCAGGCGCGAAACCUUUACACUGCACGCCAGUGCGAUAAGGGGACCCCGAGUGCGAGGGCAUACAGUCCUCGCUUUUCGUGACCGUAAGAAGGUCUCAGAAUAAGAGCUGGGCAAGACCGGUGCCAGCCGCCGCGGUAAUACCGGCAGCUCGAGUGAUAGCCACUAUUAUUGGGCCUAAAGCGUCCGUAGCCGGCCGAACAGGUCCGUCGGGAAAUCCACCCGCUCAACGGGUGGACGUCCGGCGGAAACCAGUCGGCUUGGGGCCGGGAGACCAGAGAGGUACGUCCGGGGUAGGAGUGAAAUCCCGUAAUCCUGGACGGACCGCCGGUAGCGAAAGCGUCUCUGGAGAACGGACCCGACGGUGAGGGACGAAAGCUUGGGUCUCGAACCGGAUUAGAUACCCGGGUAGUCCAAGCUGUAAACGAUGCUCGCUAGGUGUGGCGUUGGCUACGAGCCAGCGCUGUGCCGUAGGGAAGCCGAGAAGCGAGCCGCCUGGGAAGUACGUCCG
rnacentral:rRNA from 1 species